rnacentral:sRNA from 1 species
GUGACUGCGGCCAGGGCAGGAGAGUGCGGAGGCCGGUGAGGAGGGUCCACAGCUAGCGGUGAGGCAGGAGUCAGGGUCAGCCUCGCCGUAUGGUGGCCACCACUGCUGUUAACCACAGUACACAGGGUGCUCGGUGCUGCUGUGGUCGGCCAACAAGGUGUUUGAGGAGCUGACGGACAUCGAGAGGCAGUUCCACAAGGCCUUCUACACGGUGCGGGCCUACCUCAACUGCGAGCGGUACUCCGUGGGCCUCCUGGAUAUGACCAAGGAGAAGGAAUUUUUUGACGUGUGGCCUGUGCUGAUGGGAGAGUCCCAGCCGUACUCGGGCCCACGCACGCCUGAUGGCCGGGUGAGUCUUAGGGGAGGGGCCCAGGGCCCGUCCACACGCCUCUGUUUCCCUGGCUCCAACUGCAGGGCAGGAGAGGGAGGAAUAGGGGUGGGGUUUAGGGAGGUGGGAACUGGCGGGUGGGCCCCCGGGUGCCU